GGGAGGGGGAUGGGGAUGUCGAAUUUGGAAACUGGAGGGGACACUGGUGGACGGACUGGGUGCAAGGAGUUGGUGUUGAUAAGAGGAGCAGGACGCCAGAGUCCCAGCCCUGGAACCGUUCAGAGUGGAACAGGCACCACCUGUAAUCUACUAUGUCCCUGACUUCAUCUCUAAAGAAGAGGAGGAGUAUUUGCUUCGACGGGUUUUUAAUGCCCCAAAGCCAAAGUGGACCCAGCUCUCUGGGAGAAAGUUACAGAACUGGGGUGGGCUUCCCCAUCCCCGGGGAAUGGUUCCUGAGCGGCUGCCUCCAUGGCUCCAGCGCUACGUGGACAAAGUAUCCGACCUCAGCCUCUUUGGAGGCUUCCCAGCUAACCAUGUACUCGUGAACCAGUAUCUACCUGGGGAGGGCAGCAUGCCCCACGAGGACGGACCACUGUACUACCCGACUGUCAGCACCAUUAGCCUUGGUUCCCACACCAUGCUGGACUUCUACGAGCCGCGGCGGCCAGAGGAUGAUGACCCUACGGAACGGCCCUAGGCCCCGCCCCGGCCCACCACCUCGCUGCUACCGGAACCGCGCAGCCUGCUGGAGCCCCGCAGCCCUGCGGACGCGCGCCUCCUCCACGGGAUCGCUGCCGCCUGCGCAGACGCGCUGGAUGCCGCCUCCCCACCGCCCAGCGUGGCCGCCUGCCCGUUAGCGCGACCCAGAGCCGUCGCUAACUUCAGCGCCAUGACGGAAAGCGAGAAC